rnacentral:rRNA from 1 species
CAAUAGCGUAUAUUUAAGUUGUUGCAGUUAAAAAGCUCGUAGUUGGAUUUCGGGUUGGCUUCAGCGGUCUCGCUUUGCGUUUGUACUGCUGCAGCCUACCUUCUUGUCGGGGACGGGCCUUCGGGCUUAAUUGCUUGGGGCCCGGAGUCGACGAUGUUACUUUGAGUAAAUUAGAGUGUUCAAAGCAAGCCUACGCUCUGAAUAUAAUAGCAUGGGAUAACACGACAGGACCCUGGCCAAUCGUGUUGGUCUGUAGGACCAGAGUAAUGAUUAAGAGGGACAGUCGGGGGCAUUCGUAUUCCGUUGUCAGAGGUGAAAUUCUUGGAUUUACGGAAGACGAACAUCUGCGAAAGCAUUUGCCAAGGAUGUUUUCAUUGA